rnacentral:rRNA from 1 species
UACGGAGGGGGCUAGCGUUGUUCGGAAUUACUGGGCGUAAAGCGCACGUAGGCGGAUAGUUAAGUUAGAGGUGAAAGCCCAGGGCUCAACCCUGGAACUGCCUUUAAUACUGGCUGUCUAGAGAUCGAGAGAGGUGAGUGGAAUUCCGAGUGUAGAGGUGAAAUUCGUAGAUAUUCGGAGGAACACCAGUGGCGAAGGCGGCUCGCUGGCUCGAUACUGACGCUGAGGUGCGAAAGCGUGGGGAGCAAACAGG